CACGUAGGGUGCGAGCGUUGUCCGGAAUUAUUGGGCGUAAAGAGCUCGUAGGCGGUUUGUCGCGUCGGGAGUGAAAACCUUGGGCUUAACUCAGGGCUUGCUUUCGAUACGGGCAGACUAGAGGUAUGCAGGGGAGAACGGAAUUCCUGGUGUAGCGGUGAAAUGCGCAGAUAUCAGGAGGAACACCGGUGGCGAAGGCGGUUCUCUGGGCAUGAUCUGACGCUGAGGAGCGAAAGUGUGGGGAGCGAACAGG
rnacentral:rRNA from 1 species